GACGAACGCUGGCGGCGUGCUUAACACAUGCAAGUCGAACGGUAAGGCCCUUCGGGGUACACGAGUGGCGAACGGGUGAGUAACACGUGGGUGAUCUGCCCUGCACUUCGGGAUAAGCCUGGGAAACUGGGUCUAAUACCGGAUAGGACCACUGCCUGCAUGGGUGGUGGUGGAAAGCUUUUGCGGUGUGGGAUGGGCCCGCGGCCUAUCAGCUUGUUGGUGGGGUGAUGGCCUACCAAGGCGACGACGGGUAGCCGGCCUGAGAGGGUGACCGGCCACACUGGGACUGAGAUACGGGCCAGACUCCUACGGGAGGCAGCAGUGGGGAAUAUUGCACAAUGGGCGCAAGCCUGAUGCAGCGACGCCGCGUGAGGGAUGACGGCCUUCGGGUUGUAAACCUCUUUCAGCACCGACGAAGCGUAAGUGACGGUAGGUGCAGAAGAAGGACCGGCCAACUACGUGCCAGCCGCCGCAGUAA
rnacentral:rRNA from 1 species